rnacentral:rRNA from 1 species
UGGGGAAUAUUGGACAAUGGGCGAAAGCCUGAUCCAGCCAUGCCGCGUGUGUGAAGAAGGUCUUCGGAUUGUAAAGCACUUUAAGUUGGGAGGAAGGGCAGUAAGCGAAUACCUUGCUGUUUUGACGUUACCGACAGAAUAAGCACCGGCUAACUCUGUGCCAGCAGCUGCGGUAAUACAGAGGGUGCAAGCGUUAAUCGGAAUUACUGGGCGUAAAGCGCGCGUAGGUGGUUAGUUAAGUUGAAUGUGAAAGCCCCGGGCUCAACCUGGGAACUGCAUCCAAAACUGGCGAGCUAGAGUAGGGCAGAGGGUGGUGAAAUUUCCUGUGUAGCGGAGAAAUGCGUAGAUAUAGGAAGGAACACCAGUGGCGAAGGCGACCACCUGGGCUCAUACUGACACUGAGGUGCGAAAGCGUGGGGGGCAAACAGG